rfam:Dipodomys ordii contig_21945, whole genome shotgun sequence.
GGUGGCUCUAUGGUAGAGUGCUUGCCUUACAUGCAUGAAACCCUGGGUUCGAUUCCUCAGUACCA